GGGGCUCGAAAGAAAAGGAAAGGAAAGGGGGGUGGUUGCAGGGACCAAGUCUCAUGGGAUGCCGACCCUCCGCCGUCAUUUCUUGGAAGAUAGAGAGAGAGAGAGAGACGUCAGCAAGUCCGACGUCUUACCUUCAGCUGCGAGGAGACACCUGAAAGCUCAGCGAUCGUCGGCAGGGAGAAGAUCCCCACUCGGAUUAUCUAUGAAGGAAGGCCGGGCUUGGCUUCCGAGUCAUCGAAAUCAUCCCCUGACAGGGUGGUCAGCCAGAAAUUUAAUGCGGGCCUUUUUUUUAAAAUCCGGUAUAUUUUCAGGUUAAAAACCCGCAAUUUACUCACCAUCCGUCGUCGUAGUGGGUCCUGACGUUCCUCCCC
rnacentral:lncRNA from 1 species